rnacentral:ncRNA from 1 species
AUAAAAGCAAUGAUAAGGACGAGUAAAGCAAUAAUUGCUAACAGAGAGGAAAUGUCACCGGCUGAAAGCAUUUCCAAGUAAAUGUGCUUGAAAACCACCUUGUAGCUUUAGGCUGAAACAACAGUAAGCCCAUACGGUGAUUACGUUAUAAUCCAUGAGAUCAAACUAGGGUGGAACCGCGAAUAGACUCUCGCCCCUUUU